GACGAACGCUGGCGGCGUGCUUAACACAUGCAAGUCGAACGGAAAGGCCCUGCUUUUGUGGGGUGCUCGAGUGGCGAACGGGUGAGUAACACGUGAGUAACCUGCCCUUGACUUUGGGAUAACCUCAGGAAACUGGGGCUAAUACCGGAUAGGAGCUCCUGCUGCAUGGUGGGGGUUGGAAAGUUUCGGCGGUUGGGGAUGGACUCGCGGCUUAUCAGCUUGUUGGUGGGGUAGUGGCUUACCAAGGCUUUGACGGGUAGCCGGCCUGAGAGGGUGACCGGCCACAUUGGGACUGAGAUACGGCCCAGACUCCUACGGGAGGCAGCAGUGGGGAAUAUUGCACAAUGGGCGGAAGCCUGAUGCAGCAACGCCGCGUGCGGGAUGACGGCCUUCGGGUUGUAAACCGCUUUCGCCUGUGACGAAGCGUGAGUGACGGUAAUGGGUAAAGAAGCACCGGCUAACUACGUGCCAGCAGCCGCGGUGAUACGUAGGGUGCGAGCGUUGUCCGGAUUUAUUGGGCGUAAAGGGCUCGUAGGUGGUUGAUCGCGUCGGAAGUGUAAUCUUGGGGCUUAACCCUGAGCGUGCUUUCGAUACGGGUUGACUUGAGGAAGGUAGGGGAGAAUGGAAUUCCUGGUGGAGCGGUGGAAUGCGCAGAUAUCAGGAGGAACACCAGUGGCGAAGGCGGUUCUCUGGGCCUUUCCUGACGCUGAGGAGCGAAAGCGUGGGGAGCGAACAGGCUUAGAUACCCUGGUAGUCCACGCUGUAAACGGUGGGUACUAGGUGUGGGGUCCAUUCCACGGGUUCCGUGCCGUAGCUAACGCUUUAAGUACCCCGCCUGGGGAGUACGGCCGCAAGGCUAAAACUCAAAGGAAUUGACGGGGCCCCGCACAAGCGGCGGAGCAUGCGGAUUAAUUCGAUGCAACGCGUAGAACCUUACCUGGGUUUGACAUGGAUCGGGAGCGCUCAGAGAUGGGUGUGCCUCUUUUGGGGUCGGUUCACAGGUGGUGCAUGGCUGUCGUCAGCUCGUGUCGUGAGAUGUUGGGUUAAGUCCCGCAACGAGCGCAACCCUUGUUCACUGUUGCCAGCACGUUAUGGUGGGGACUCAGUGGAGACCGCCGGGGUCAACUCGGAGGAAGGUGGGGAUGACGUCAAGUCAUCAUGCCCCUUAUGUCCAGGGCUUCACGCAUGCUACAAUGGCUGGUACAGAGAGUGGCGAGCCUGUGAGGGUGAGCGAAUCUCGGAAAGCCGGUCUCAGUUCGGAUUGGGGUCUGCAACUCGACCUCAUGAAGUCGGAGUCGCUAGUAAUCGCAGAUCAGCAACGCUGCGGUGAAUACGUUCCCGGG
rnacentral:rRNA from 1 species